rnacentral:rRNA from 1 species
AAUCAACGCUGGCGGCGUGCCUCAGACAUGCAAGUCGAACGCGAAAGUCCCCUUCGGGGGGCAAGUAGAGUGGCGCACGGGUGAGUAACACGUAGGUAAUCUACCUUUGGAUGGGGAAUAACAACCGGAAACGGUUGCUAAUACCGCAUAAUGCAGCGGCACCUAAUGGUGACAGUUGUUAAAGCGGGGGGAUACGAAAGACCUCGCGUACUAAA